rnacentral:lncRNA from 1 species
CUACUUAAUGUAUUUGUUUAACAUAAUAGCCUCUCAAGGUGGCUAGGUUUAUUACACCAAAUCACCAUUGGUAGAGUGAAUGAUUUGUUUUAUACCAUUUUUAAUAUAAGAUAUAUGUUUUAAACACUAAAAUGAGAGAAUAUUUAAACUUUUAAAAUCUAAAAUUAUAAAAUAUAAUGUAUUGAUAUCAUAAUAUGUUGUUUUAGAAAAUUGAACAUGAAAAAAGAAAUAAAGAAAAUGACAGUUUAUAUAGACAAAGAUGGGUUAAAGUUAUGAAAAUAAAACAAAAUGUGAAAAUGACGUAGA